UACGGGGGGGGGUAAGCGUUGUUCGGAAUUACUGGGCGUAAAGGGCUCGUAGGCGGCCAACUAAGUCAGACGUGAAAUCCCUCAGCUUAACUGGGGAACUGCGUCUGAUACUGGAUGGCUUGGAUCCGGAAGAGGGAUGCGGAAUUCCCAGUGUAGAGGUGAAAUUCGUAGAUAUUGGGAAGAACACCGGUGGCGAAGGCGGCUAUCUGGACCGACAUUGACGCUGAGGCGCGAAAGCGUGGGGAGCAAACAGGG
rnacentral:rRNA from 1 species